UCCCUCUUAGCUCAGUUGGUAGAGCGCGUCACUAGUAUGACGAAAAGGUGUAUGGUUAUGACGAGGUCAGUCGUUCAAGUCGGCUAGAGGGAA